GGAUGGUUUUUGUACUUUCAAAGGGUUGGGAGGAGGAAUGGAAGUGACAGUCUGCAUGUGGUCCACAAAGUCUAUAUUUACUCUCUGGCCCUCUAGAGGUAAAGUUCACAGCUCAACAAGCAAUGACCAAGAGCUGACCAGACUGCCAGGUUCUGGGGGUACUGUGAGGGAUAAGACAUCAUUGUUGUCCAGAGAGAACAAGUCACGUUAGGAGAAAUAAAGGCACCAUAAUAGCAAGGGCAAUGUAUGCAAAGAUGGGGUCACACUGUCGCUAUGCAAGCACAAAAGAGGGGCACCCAGCUCAGCCUUGGGGACUUAGAGAAUGCAGAGAAGGGGAGCCUUCCAAGACGAGGGGGCAGGUAAGAUGAAGCUGGAAAGAGAAGUAGGUGUUAGGCAGAAGGGUGCGGUGAAACUGCGGGGAGGGUGGUGAGGUAGGAAAAACAGCCUAGGCAGAGAGAGAGAGAGAGAGAGAGAGAGAGAAAGAGGUGCAAAGGUUUUAGUGGAAUGCAAGGUGGAGAAUGUCAAGGGCUGCAGCUGGAGAGGGGGCUGAGGCCUGUGCCAAAGACUUCGUGUCUCCCAGCUGGAUGCUUGGACUUUACCCAGGCUCAAGCGCUGACCCCAACACUAAGUAGCUGUGUGGCCUUAAGCAAAGUACUUAACCUUUCUGUGCCUCAACUUCCUCAUCUGUAACAUGUGGUUAAGAAGAGUACCUAUCUCAUAGGGUUGCUGAAAACAUGAAAUGAGGUAAUACAUACAAAGCAUGCAGAAUUGUGCCGGCCCAUAAUUAGCACUCAGCAAGUGCUGCCGACUGUGGUUGCUGUCGGGGUCAUUGCUCUUGUUACACUAUCAGUUAUGGGAAGGCUUUGAAAAGCUGUGAACACUUGCUAUGGGCCUGUCUCUACACUGAGCACUAGGAAUAGAGUGGUCUUGUCUUAUGACAUCCGUUUGAGACCUGGACCUUGUAGAAAUCCAGGCAAAAAUUGUUUUGACUCUGGGGUUCCCUGGUGCCUGUUGCCAGAGUGUUCAGGAAAUAAUAGUGGUCUGGCCAUCCUUCACUGAAGGUGAUUAGGAGUCAGCUUCCAGCACAAAUGAUUGCGUCUGAGAGCCAGGAAGGUAGGAGGUCCAGAAUGAGGGCAUUAAGAACUCCUCAGGUCAGGAGCCACAUGCUCCCCUCUUUCUCCUAAAAGAAAAGUAUCAAAUACGGCUCUACUAGCAGAGAGAAUGAUCUAGGCUUCACCCUACCAGACUCAUACUUGAUCCUGCACAGCUUUCCUUUGCCUCAGUGGCCCAAUCUAGUCAUCAACUCUCUGGAAUUUCUUUGGACUCGUACAGUCCUUCAGUGGGUCUCUGCUUCUUCACACAGAAGAGAAAGCAUCUCUCCCGACACGUGCAGUCCAGUCCGGCAGAGGCAGCCUGGAAAUGGAGUCCACACCACAGCGAGGGCUUGCAAGGGACCCAAGAGUCACUCCCUGCCCUCCCUUGUGGCGUCUCCCUCUAGCCCAUCUGCCACAGCUCAUGGGACCUUCCCAGACACAGACACAGCCUGCAGAGGAGGCCGGGGAGUGAGAGCCAAUAGGCAGCAGGCAGGCCUGCAGCACACUCCCCAUUUCUGCUGUCCACUGUGCAGGUAGCAGAGAGGGGUCCCCUCCAUCUACAGAGCCCCCCCAAGGCUUCAGAGCUGGGGGGACCUCCGAGGUUGGUAGCCUGUCUGUGCAGCCGACCACGAGACAACGGCCCUGCUGCGGGAGCACUCAGGAUGCAGAGCUUCCGCUGAGUGCGGUGGAGCUCUCGGUGGGUGAGGCCCUGGGCCCAGGCAUUGUGUCCGCACUGCAGGAGUAGCCCCACGCUGGCAGCUGGCACCCCGGGCACUCGGCGCAGGGCCUGGGCAAGCUGCGCUCUGAUCUGCAGUCUCUCGGUGCUCUGGGCUCCUUUGGGGAGGACAUUAUCUUCGAUGUUAUUGUGUAAUAAUAGGACCAUGUUCCUGUGUCCUGCGGCUUUCUGGCUGAGCACACCAUGCUCCAUGAGGAAAUACGGUUACAGGAAUUAUGCUCUUAUUUAUUUUCCCUCCAGAAUAUCAGAGUUGACAGCACAGAGACACAGGUCUGUGGUCAUUUCAAGCUCAUUUAUCUCUCCCUGCCCCACCCUCCUCUCCUCAGCAGCCACCCUGUCACCUGCCACAGGGCCUCAGGCCCUAUCCCCUGUCUACCCAUCUCCUUAGAGUGCUCAGGCCAUACAGGCUGCUUAAGCGCUUUGUUCAAAUGUACCCAUUUAAUUCUGACGAUAGCCCUAUGGGGUAAGUAUUAUUAUUGUUCUCAUUUCACACUUGAGGAAACUCAGGCCUAGAGAGGUUAUGUGACUUGCCCAGGGUCACACAGCUAGUGAGUGGCAGAGCAUAGAUUCAAACCCAGGCUGUCGGGCUCCAUAAUUUGUGCUUUUAAUUCUGUGCUAUUCAGCCUCCAGUUCUGAUGCUUUUUUCUGUGCGGAUCUACAUAGAGAACAAACUGUGGGCACCAGCACUCGGCAUCCAGGUCAGUGGACACCGUGGAGCUGAGGAGCACUGUUGAUCAGCACUGCCCACGCUUGGCAGAAGGGAGGGGUGACGUCCUUCACCCCUGGAAAGGAUUCCCACCGUCCUGCAUUGGGUGCAUCCAGGAUGCGUGUUGGACCCAGGCUGGGGCUGCCUCCCUGUCCAGGCAGGGGAGGGCUGCAAGCAUAGCAAACCCUGCCCUUCCAGGACAGAAGCUGCCUCUGCCUGCUCUGCUCUCAGCUCUGAAGUCUUUUCUUAAAGAGCAACAUGACCUAUAGAGAAGCCCAUUCCUGCAGAGGAGGAAAGGUCAGAGGCUUCCACAGUGCGGGACUGAAUUUGGAGAAGGCUCCCUCUGCUCUGGGGCCGGCUUUGACAGGACCUGCAGUCUUAGCGUGAGAGGUCCCAUCCCAGGGGCGUGCCUGGCACUCCUGCCCCAGUCAGCUGGGCCCAGUGAACAACCUGAGCCGGGUUGCAGUGUUUCUGUACCCAGAGGAGUGGGCAGAGGUGAAGGUGUCUUUGCUUCCAUUUUGCUUUCUCCCCAGCAUGUGGUUCUCAGAGGUAGUGUCUGACUAGCUCACUGGGGCUGGGGGCCCACCUGGACUGGGCCCACAAGGCAGUGCGGCCUGUGGAAUGCCCAGGAGGAGGGCCCAGCUCUGCCUCCCAGCAGCACGCAGCCUGGGACACGCCAGCCAGGCCACCUGCUGAGAUGUCCUUCCUGCCCCUUCUCACUGCAAAGUGAGAAAAGCUCAGCGGGGUGCUGGGCUUGCUGUUGGUGGCACCAGCCUUCUCCUGGGGCGGUCCAGACCGGUGGGGGCGGG
ensembl:lncRNA